AUCCCAUGGUAAGGGCAAGCCAAGAGGUAUUCUUUGAAGCACUCCCAUGCUUCAAGGAUUGACUCAUCUGACGCCGACUGGAAAUUGCAAAUCCUUCCACGAAGGGC
rnacentral:snoRNA from 1 species